UUAAAUGUCCAUAACACGUUGAAUACACCGGUUCUCGUCCGGUCACCGAAGUUAAGUAACGUCGGGCGCGGUCAGUACUUGGAUGGGUGACCGCCUGGGAACACCGCGUGACGUUGGCU
rnacentral:rRNA from 1 species